UGUUUUUAUCAUUAAGAAACUUUUAGAUAUAAUUUAAUUUAAUAUAUUUAAAGACAGAGACACAAUUUGUUCAGUAAAUUAAUGUUUAAUAAAAUAAAAAAAAGCAAUUUUAUGUUUAAUUUUCUUCCCAUCUGCUGUACCGAACCCGUACCGAACCGUGACUUUAAAACCGAGACACGUCAGGUUCCACCUCUCACCAAUACCAACGCACUCAAUCCCCGGAGUACUAAUCACCGCCACCUGCACAUCAUCAGCGCAGCAAUCACCAUCACUACAAAAGACUCACACUCACACACACUCACUGUCCGGUCUUGUUUGCACUUCACUUACAUGAAUGCUUACCUCAAGGACUCCAGCUCCAUGCUUACCUGUCUCCAGUAUUCCUCGUGUGCGAUCCUAUCUGUGUGUGAGUGUUCCCUGUCUCCAGUCUCCAGCGUCUACUACAUUCUUCAUUCUGCAAUCAACAAAAGGACAGUAUUAUCUCUCUGCUACUCAUUCUACUAUCAUCAUCGCUAUAUACUCACCUGCAUCUCUGCUGAUAUCAAUAAAACAUCACUGUUUACUUUUA